UCAUUUGGGUUUGGGUUUUCUGUGUGUGCCUUUCCCCUUGUGCUGCUGGCGCGAUCGGUAAAAACAUUUUCUUACAGUGCACUUCCACUUGUUGCCUGUUUGUGCCACCGUUCCCCUUUGUAUUAUUGUGUUUUCCAACUUGCGGCCGAAACUCUCGGUUCUUUUGGGCUUCUCUGUUUGGCUAGCGGUUUGGUGCAUUCCUUGGGCCUUCGUCUCCGGUCUCCACCUAUCCCACUCACCCACUCCCCAGUCACCGAGAAAUGUAGAAGUAAACGCUCGGACAGUCGCAUCCGCCACGCUGCAUACAAAUGCAUUCCGCUGGCCAAGGGCGUGGCAAGUAGCCUCCAACCACCGAGCAGCCGCACGCAACAUCUAUCCCAAAUCGCUGCCACAAGUGCCACUGCCAGUGAAUCCACCACUUCCACUCAUCAGCCACGGAUCCACGUUCCAUCACGUGCGCGGAUUGGGUUGGGGAUCCCAUCCCGGCUGAGGGAUUGGACAUGGAAAUGGGGAAUAUCCGCGGCAUUUUUAACCCAGGCAAGGCCCAACCUUACACUCGGAAAAAUUCGAAAUGAACUUCAGUAGCAAGCGCCGUUGU
ensembl:ncRNA lncRNA:CR45290 long non-coding RNA:CR45290